AAUUCGGAACUGGCCGGUAAAUGAUACAGAAACCUCGUUCUGCUCUGUACUGCGGCGGUGUAAUUAUUAUGCAACUUUCGCAUCGAUGGCUGCUAGUGGUGCUGGCGGUCGCACAUUUUAUGCUGUUAUCGACAACAGUAGCGUUAGCAUCGCCGCUUCCAAAAGCUCAACUGGAAGAGGAGAGUGUCUGCGGCCCGCCAGGAAACGAGGUUCGUUGUUUUUGCAAGGGAGAAGGGGCCAAUAUGGUGUGCACAGUAUUCUAGACGGAGCUAGCCUAUUACUAGAACAAGAUAAGUUUUGUGAUUGAUGGUGAAAAUAGCAGUAAUAAACUGUAUCAUACCGCGAAAAUCGUUCAAACGUUAGGUUGGCGUCUUGGCGAACAGCUUUCUCUUCCAGCAUUUCAUUUUGUCAACCUCAACAUGAGCAACUUUUUGUGCAGAAAGUGUCGAAACAAUAAAGGUUCUUGACGGCAACUAAUGCGGGCUUGACACGAAAAUUUA